rnacentral:lncRNA from 1 species
ACGAGAUGGUACAAAUAUAUCCGCAAAAAGUCUGAAAUUUUCAUAGGCAUAAUAUGACGGUGGUGCAAUACUCUAACAGAGCGUAUAACAGGCUGUAACACACUGUUCCCAUAUCUGUCAAGGACUGCCCUGCACGACGCGCUUCCUCAACAGCCUCCGCCCCCGCAACCGCCACCUCCUCCGCAGCCUCCUCCACCGCCGCCCCAGUGGCGCCGACGUCGUUUAGGCUUCACACCCGGGCCAUCGGCGCAGCUGAACACGGCGAUAGCGACGACGGCGACGACGGCCACGAAGACGAAAGCUAGACCCACAACAUUGCCAGGCGCAGAGAGGCCUUCGGCCGCAGCAAGAUCCAGCAUCCUAACCAUCGUUGCGGAUUGAGCUAGCUCCUUGAGCUUUGUGUGUAGGAAAAGUUGGCCCCUCGACCGGUACUUAAAGCCCCGACGGGACUGGGAGAUGUACAAGAAGCUGCAAAUGUCAACUGGAUACCAGCUCUUGAAAUUUUCAGAUCAUUACUCUGUCGAUCACCUAUUGAGGAGUGAACAUUUGGCAUUGUACUUGGUUAUUGAAGUGAACAACUAUUUUGACCUGAAAU